AUCCAGCCUACGAGUCUCAAAUAGGACGAAACGCGCAUCCUGGAU
rfam:Schistosoma mansoni strain Puerto Rico chromosome 6, complete genome